rnacentral:rRNA from 1 species
AUUGAACGCUGGCGGCAGGCCUAACACAUGCAAGUCGAGCGGAUGAAGGGAGCUUGCUCCUGGAUUCAGCGGCGGACGGGUGAGUAAUGCCUAGGAAUCUGCCUGGUAGUGGGGGAUAACGUCCGGAAACGGGCGCUAAUACCGCAUACGUCCUGAGGGCGAACGUGGGGGAUCUUCGGACCUCACGCUAUCAGAUGAGCCUAGGUCGGAUUAGCUAGUUGGUGGGGUAAAGGCCUACCAAGGCGACGAUCCGUAACUGGUCUGAGAGGAUGAUCAGUCACACUGGAACUGAGACACGGUCCAGACUCCUACGGGAGGCAGCAGUGGGGAAUAUUGGACAAUGGGCGAAAGCCUGAUCCAGCCAUGCCGCGUGUGUGAAGAAGGUCUUCGGAUUGUAAAGCCCUUUAAGUUGGGAGGAAGGGCAGUAAGCUAAUACCUUGCUGUUUUGACGUUACCAACAGAAUAAGCACCGGCUAACUUCGUG